AUUUUAAACAACUGGCUGUUCUCUCCGCCGCCGCCCCUCCCCCCGCGCCGCCCGCGCUCGGCUCCUCACUGGAGAGAAGGCGCCGGGAGGAGGGGAAAGUGCGGCCUGGAGUUGCUGGUCGGAGCCGGCGGAGCUGGAGCUGUGGCGGCCCCAGACUUUGGGGCGCCCGCCGAGUACACAGACAGACCUACGGCCCCAGCCUUCGUGGGAGCCCCACCAGCCCCUUCUCCUGCUCCUCUCCUGGCUGUGACCCCGCGCCAGUACCCUGGAUUAAUCUCUACCGUCCUCAGCCCUACUCCCUCGGGUGUCGACCCCCUCCCCAUCCCCCCCACCACACCCUGCUCCUAGAGGGCCUCAGGCAGGGGACUCACACGCUGCUCCCUGGACUUCUGUUUGAGCGACCCAGAGCGUCUCGCCUUCUCUCCUGGGGAGAGAUUGUCCCUCUCGCCCUGGGGGCGCCGCUGGGGUGGCGUCUCCUCGCCCCUGGGGCGCGCCCAGCUUCCCAGGGGAACACCCUGCCUCAGGCCUGCCUCCUCUCUUUAGAGUGAUUUGGCGGUGGAGACAUGACAUUCAUGCACUCAGAAGAACCGGGAGGAGUAAUGCUGAGGACUAGGGGGAAAAGAAUGGGAGGAGGGAAGACAACAGGUAAAAGAAGGAAUGGAAAGAUGAGAGGACGCAAGAGCUGAGGCAAGAACAAUGGAAGGAGUGCAAGAAAGUUGGAAU